rnacentral:lncRNA from 1 species
GCAUCUUCUCCGAUCAUAUCGGGUGCUGGUGUAUCCAGUAUGUAGGAGACUUUCUCCUGAGUGAGAAUAAUUCUCAGAUUUCUUAACCAGUCUAUGUAGUUUGAUCUAGUCUAUUUGUUAGCAUCUAAUAUGCCUCUUAGUGAUAGUGAGGAUGCCAUAUGUGCAGUUAAUCUACAAUAACAAGAAUACAAUAUAAGCGGACAACUUAUGAUGACAUGCGCAACUAAAUUAGGACUUUUAUCUAAUUGUGUCUCUCACUAUUUUAACAAAUUUUAUAGUCCUCAAGUAUGAAAAAUAAGAAACAUCCUUAUGUUUCUAAGU